rnacentral:rRNA from 1 species
AGAGUUUGAUCAUGGCUCAGAAUGAACGUUGGCGGCGUGGAUUAGGCAUGCAAGUCGAACGGGCCAUGGGUAGCAAUACUUGUGGUCAGUGGCGUAAGGGAGAGUAAUACGUAGGUAUUUACCCUGGGGUCUGGGGAUAGCGGCGGGAAACUGCCGGUAAUACCAGAUGAUAUCUCCGGAUCAAAGGUGUGAUUCCGCCCUAGGAGAAGCCUGCGGUCUAUCAGCUAGUUGGUAAGGUAACGGCUUACCAAGGCAAAAACGGAUAUGGGGCGUGAGAGCGUGCCCCCACUCACUGGGACUGAGACACUGCCCAGACACCUACGGGUGGCUGCAGUCGAGAAUCUUCGGCAAUGGGCGCAAGCCUGACCGAGCGACGCCGCGUGCGGGAUGAAGGCCUUCGGGUUGUAAACCGCUGUCGAAGGGGAGGAAAUUGUAGUGGGUUCACCCAUUAUAUUGACCGAUCCUUGGAGGAAGGGCCGGCUAAUCUCGUG